ACGGGUCUCCACGAGAUCAGGAAGAAUUAUCCCCAAGCCAGAUUUUCCCAGAGCUGAUGGCAUUGUCCCGGAAACAUGGAUUGAUGGCCCCAAAGACACAUCAGUGGAAGAUGCUCUUGAAAGAACCUAUGUGCCCCGUCUGAAGACCCUGGAGGAGGAGGUGAUGGAGGCAAUGGGGAUCCAGGAGACCCGGAAACACAAGAAAGUCUACUGGUAUUGAGCCGGGGGCAGGAGAUGCUCCCCUACUUCUGGCUUCACCUGGAGGCUGGGACCACCUCUUCUCCAGACCCCAAUAAAGAGCUGUGAGUCA